rnacentral:rRNA from 1 species
AGCUCCAAUAGCGUAUAUUAAAGUUGUUGCAGUUAAAAAGCUCGUAGUUGAAUUUCGGGAUUGGCGCAUCGGUCGUGCCUCACGGGGUAUGAACUGGUGCAGUCAAUUUCUCACCUUCUGGAGAACCGCGAUGUCCUUAAUUGGAUGCCGCGGGGAACCAGGACCUUUACUUUGAAAAAAUUAGAGUGUUUAAAGCAGGCAUUUUUGCUUGAAUACAUUAGCAUGGAAUAAUAAAAUAGGACGGCAUGGUUCUAUUUUGUUGGUUUCUAGGACCACCGUAAUGAUUAAUAGGGA